rnacentral:rRNA from 1 species
AGUGAACGCUGGCGGCAGGCCUAAUACAUGCAAGUCGAACGGCAGCACAGCAGAGCUUGCUCUGUGGGUGGCGGGUGGCGGACGGGUGAGGAAUACAUGGGAAUCUGCCCAGUCGUGGGGGAUAACGUAUGGAAACGUACGCUAAUACCGCAUGCGCCCUAAGGGGGAAAGCCGGGGACCGCAAGGCCUGGCGCGAUUGGAUGAGCCCAUGUUCGAUUAGCUAGUUGGCGGGGUAAAGGCCCACCAAGGCGACGAUCGAUAGCUGGUCUGAGAGGAUGAUCAGCCACACUGGAACUGAGACACGGUCCAGACUCCUACGGGAGGCAGCAGUAGGGAAUUUUGGACAAUGGGCGCAAGCCUGAUCCAGCAAUGCCGCGUGCAGGAAGAAGG